UUUUCCAGGCAAAUCCGGAAAAUCAAGGCUGAGGCGUGAUGACGAGGCACUACGGUGCUGAAGCAACAAAUGCCCUGCUUCCAGGAAAAGCCUCUAAGCAUCAGGUAACAUCAAAUCGUACCCCAAACCGACACAGGUGGUCAGGUAGAGAAUACCAAGGCGCUUGAGAGAACUCGGGUGAAGGAACUAGGCAAAAUGGUGCCGUAACUUCGGGAGAAGGCACGCUGAUAUGUAGGUGAAGUCCCUUGCGGAUGGAGCUGAAAUCAGUCGAAGAUACCAGCUGGCUGCAACUGUUUAUUAAAAACACAGCACUGUGCAAACACGAAAGUGGACGUAUACGGUGUGACGCCUGCCCGGUGCCGGAAGGUUAAUUGAUGGGGUUAGCGGUAACGCGAAGCUCUUGAUCGAAGCCCCGGUAAACGGCGGCCGUAACUAUAACGGUCCUAAGGUAGCGAAAUUCCUUGUCGGGUAAGUUCCGACCUGCACGAAUGGCGUAAUGAUGGCCAGGCUGUCUCCACCCGAGACUCAGUGAAAUUGAACUCGCUGUGAAGAUGCAGUGUACCCGCGGCAAGACGGAAAGACCCCGUGAACCUUUACUAUAGCUUGACACUGAACAUUGAGCCUUGAUGUGUAGGAUAGGUGGGAGGCUUUGAAGUGUGGACGCCAGUCUGCAUGGAGCCGGCCUUGAAAUACCACCCUUUAAUGUUUGAUGUUCUAACGUUGGCCCCUGAUCGGGGUUGCGGACAGUGUCUGGUGGGUAGUUUGACUGGGGCGGUCUCCUCCUAAAGAGUAACGGAGGAGCACGAAGGUUGGCUAAUCCUGGUCGGACAUCAGGAGGUUAGUGCAAUGGCAUAAGCCAGCUUGACUGCGAGCGUGACGGCGCGAGCAGGUGCGAAAGCAGGUCAUAGUGAUCCGGUGGUUCUGAAUGGAAGGGCCAUCGCUCAACGGAUAAAAGGUACUCCGGGGAUAACAGGCUGAUACCGCCCAAGAGUUCAUAUCGACGGCGGUGUUUGGCACCUCGAUGUCGGCUCAUCACAUCCUGGGGCUGAAGUAGGUCCCAAGGGUAUGGCUGUUCGCCAUUUAAAGUGGUACGCGAGCUGGGUUUAGAACGUCGUGAGACAGUUCGGUCCCUAUCUGCCGUGGGCGCUGGAGAACUGAGGGGGGCUGCUCCUAGUACGAGAGGACCGGAGUGGACGCAUCACUGGUGUUCGGGUUGUCAUGCCAAUGGCACUGCCCGGUAGCUAAAUGCGGAAGAGAUAAGUGCUGAAAGCAUCUAAGCACGAAACUUGCCCCGAGAUGAGUUCUCCCUGACUCUUUAAGGGUCCUGAAGGAACGUUGAAGACGACGACGUUAAUAGGCCGGGUGUGUAAGCGCAGCGAUGCGUUGAGCUAACCGGUACUAAUGAACCGUGAGGCUUAACCUU
rnacentral:rRNA from 1 species